rnacentral:rRNA from 1 species
AUUGAACGCUGGCGGCAUGCCUUACACAUGCAAGUCGAACGGCAGCACGGGUGCUUGCACCUGGUGGCGAGUGGCGAACGGGUGAGUAAUACAUCGGAACGUACCUUAUCGUGGGGGAUAGCGCAGCGAAAGCUGUGCUAAUACCGCAUACGCCCUGAGGGGGAAAGCGGGGGAUCGCAAGACCUCGCGCGAUUAGAGCGGCCGAUGCCUGAUUAGCUUGUUGGUGGGGUAAAGCCCACCAAGGCGACGAUCAGUAGCUGGUCUGAGAGGACGAUCAGCCGCACUGGGACGACGACACGGCCCAGACUGCUACGGGAGGAAGCAGUGGGGAAUUUUGGACAAUGGGGGCAACCCUGAUCCAGCAAUGCCGCGUGAGUGAAGAAGGCCAUCGGGUUGUAAAGCUCUUUUGUCAGGGAAGAAACACCGGCUCUAACACGGUCUGGGAAUGACGGUACCUGAAGAAUAAGCACCGGCUAACUACGUGCCAGCCGCCGCCGUAA